UGGGGAAUAUUGGACAAUGGGCGGAAGCCUGAUCCAGCCAUGCCGCGUGUGUGAAGAAGGCCUUUUGGUUGUAAAGCACUUUAAGCGAGGAGGAGGCUCUUCUAGUUAAUACCUAGGAUGAGUGGACGUUACUCGCAGAAUAAGCACCGGCUAACUCUGUGCCAGCAGCCGCGGUAAUACAGAGGGUGCGAGCGUUAAUCGGAUUUACUGGGCGUAAAGCGUGCGUAGGCGGCUGAUUAAGUCGGAUGUGAAAUCCCUGAGCUUAACUUAGGAAUUGCAUUCGAUACUGGUCAGCUAGAGUAUGGGAGAGGAUGGUAGAAUUCCAGGUGUAGCGGUGAAAUGCGUAGAGAUCUGGAGGAAUACCGAUGGCGAAGGCAGCCAUCUGGCCUAACACUGACGCUGAGGUACGAAAGCAUGGGGAGCAAACGGG
rnacentral:rRNA from 1 species